rnacentral:lncRNA from 10 species
GUGGAGGUUGUAGUGAGCUGAGAUCUUGCCACUGCACUCCACUCUGGGUGACAGAGUGAGACUCUGUAUCAAUAAAUAAAAAAUAAAAAAUAAAAAUAUCACUAUGUAUGUUUAAAAGAUGAAGAGUUAAAAAAUGCUUUACUGUCUUACAUGAAUACUCCCUUACAAUGAAAAGUAAUCAUCAUUCAGGACAUCAUAAAAUAUCCCGUUAAUGUUGUCAUUUCCCUGGUUCUUAUUUUUACUUUAUUGCUUUGCAUAGAGAUACAAAUCAUCCACUAUAAUAGGUUUUUGUGUGUGUGUGUUAAUUCUUUGUUAAUCUAAGUUGCCACUUAUUUAAUUCCAUCCCCCCAUUCAAACAUUGCUAUUGUUGUAGAAAGUAGGUCAUUUUUUCUGUAAAAUUUUCUUUGGUUUCAGUUUUGCCAAUUAGAUCCUUGUGUUGUCAUUUAACAUGUUUUUCUUUCUUUCUUUCUUUCUUUUUUGAGACGGAGUUUCGCUCCUGUUGCCUAGGUUGGAGUGCAAUGGCGUGAUCUCGGCAAACUGCAACCUCCGCCUCCUGGGUUCACACCAUUCUCCUGCCUCAGCCUCCCGAGUAGCUGGGAUUACAGGUGCCCACCACCAGGCCCUGCUAAUUUUUUUUGUAUUUUCAGUAGAGACGUGGUUUCACCAUACUGGCCAGGGUGAUCUCGAACUCCUGACCUCAGGUGAUCUGCCCGCCUCAGCGUCCCAAAGUGCUGGGAUUACCAGCGUGAGCCACUGUGCCCGGCCUUGGUUGCCUGUUUUUAUGGUUAUUUCUUCAUGAUAUGGUAACCAAGGGGUGGAUUAUUCAUGCCUUCCCUUUUUGGUCCACAUAGGGUAACUUCCUGACGUUGCCAUGGCAUCUGUAAACUGUGAUGGAGCUGGUGGGAGUGUAGCAAUGAGGACCACCAGAGGUCACUCUCGUCGCCAUCCUGGUUUUGGUGGGUUUUGGCCGGCUCCUUUACUGCAACCUGUUUUAUCAGCAAGGUCUUUAUGACCUGUAUCUUGUGCCGACCUCCUAUCUCAUCCUGUGACUUAGAAUGCCUUCAUCAUUUGGGAAUGCAGCCCGGCAUGAUUUUGAAAAUUUAAUCUGUUCCCUGACUUCCUGGAAACAUAAGCUGGCUGGGAAAUGGGCUUGCGAGACAUUGUGACAUCCCGAGGAGACUUCUCCUCAUUGGGAGGGAUCAGAGGCUGCCCUUGCUCUUCUCCCUUUUGUCUCUUGUGAGAUGUGAAGCUUCAUGUGAAUAUUGUGUGGAGCCAACACCAUGGAAGGCAAGGUGGACACCUGGAGAAACGUUCCUUCCCUGUGGUGUUUUUGGAGCUCAUGGAUCAGCCUCCCUAGGGUUCACGUGUUGAAAUCCUAACUCCAAAUAUGAUGAUAGGAGGAGAUGGGGCCUUCGGGAGGUGAUGAGGUCAUGAGGGUGGAAUCCUCAUGAAUGGUCUCAACGCCCUUAGAAAAGAGACCCCAGAGACCUCGCUCCCGCUUUCUACUGUGGGAGAAUGCAGCAAGAAGUCAGCCGUCUAUGAACAAGGAAGCAGGUCCUCUCCAGGCACUGAAUGUACCAGUGCCUUGAUCUUGGACUUCCCAGCCUCCAGAACUAUGACAAUAAAUUCUGUUGUUUAAGCUACAUGGUCUAUGAUACUUUUGUUAAAGAAGCCCAAAGUGACUAAGACAGGCAUCAAACAAUAUAUUGUCCUUUGUGAUGGAUCCUUUCACUUUGCAUAAUGUUUUCAAGGUCUAUCCAUUUUAUACCACAUAACAGCACCUCCUUUGCUUUCAUGGCUGAAUAAUAUUCCAC